rnacentral:rRNA from 1 species
GACGAACGCUGGCGGCGUGCUUAACACAUGCAAGUCGAACGAUGAAGCUAGAGCUUGCUCUGGUGAAUUAGUGGCGAACGGGUGAGUAACACGUGAGUAACCUGCCCCGAACUCUGGGAUAACUGCUGGAAACGGUAGCUAAUACUGGAUACGACCUACGAAGGCAUCUUCUGUAGGUGGAAAGAAUUUCGGUUCGGGAUGGACUCGCGGCCUAUCUGCUUGUUGGUGAGGUAAUGGCUCACCAAGGCGACGACGGGUAGCCGGCCUGAGAGGGUGACCGGCCACACUGGGACUGAGACACUGCCCAGACUCCUACGGGAGGCAGCAGUGGGGAAUAUCGCACAAUGGGCGCAAGCCUGAUGCAGCAACGCCGCGUGAGGGAUGACGGCCUUCGGGUUGUAAACCUCUUUUAGUGGGGAAGGAGCGAAAGUGACGGUACCUGCAGAAAAAGCACCGGCUAACUACGUGCCAGCCGCCGCCGUAA